AAUGAGCACCUACAUACCCGCAUUCGUAAUGCGAAGGUCGGGGGUUCGAUUCCUCUUUCCGGCACCA
rnacentral:tRNA from 2 species